rnacentral:lncRNA from 1 species
GGCAAGGAAGCUUUGAUUUGCAACUUAGGGAUGCCAGUAUGAGAAUGAAAAUUCACAAGAAGAGAGGAAAUACUGAGGAGAAAAUGGCAGAUUGUGUUUGCUGAAUUUGAUUGACGAAGAAGUCACCAUGAAAAUCACAGUGAACCAUUUGGAAAGCAAACUGCCAAAAAAUAAUAGUUAGUCAUGCUCUCAGGCUGGUUGUUUUGGCUGUUGUGGGUUUCUUGCAUUUCCAGAUGAUUGCAAAGAGCUGUUUCUCAAUUUCUGCAACAAGUGCCAGCUGAAAUUUUGGUACCAGUUUCAUUAAAUAUGUAGAACAAUUUGAGCCUGAGUGAGUUCUGUGGAGCCCAUACUACCUGCGAUUCAAGCCAGCAACCUUGGAAUCUCCCUGAACAAUUUCUAUGGUGUCCAAUCACAUUUGCAAUCACUCCCCACACUCAGACUGUGUAUUUUUGGCUGCUCUCCAAGCCCUUGAGGAAAACACUUGGAGUCAAUCUCAUCCUUUUGAUGCAGUGCUGAGUAAUGAGAGAUUUUAGAAGAUGGAAAAAAGAAAAAUACAUUGCACUCUGAAACAUUCUACAUAAAAAUGGAAUGUGUGGUCAUUAGAUUAACUCAGGCUUUGGACCUCGGGGCAUAAAACCCAUUUCCUC